rnacentral:rRNA from 1 species
UACAGAGGUCUCAAGCGUUGUUCGGAUUCAUUGGGCGUAAAGGGUGCGUAGGUGGCGGGGUAAGUCAGGUGUGAAAUCUCGGGGCUCAACCCCGAAACUGCACUGGAUACUGCCUUGCUCGAGUACUGGAGAGGAGAUUGGAAUUUACGGUGUAGCAGUGAAAUGCGUAGAUAUCGUAAGGAAGACCAGUGGCGAAGGCGAAUCUCUGGACAGUUACUGACACUGAGGCACGAAGGCCAGGGGAGCAAACGGG